rnacentral:rRNA from 1 species
AUUGAACGCUGGCGGCAUGCCUUACACAUGCAAGUCGAACGGCAGCACGGGAGCUUGCUCCUGGUGGCGAGUGGCGAACGGGUGAGUAAUGCAUCGGAACGUGCCCUGAAGUGGGGGAUAACGUAGCGAAAGUUACGCUAAUACCGCAUAUUCUGUGAGCAGGAAAGCAGGGGAUCUUCGGACCUUGCGCUUUUGGAGCGGCCGAUGUCGGAUUAGCUAGUUGGUGGGGUAAAGGCCCACCAAGGCGACGAUCCGUAGCGGGUCUGAGAGGAUGAUCCGCCACACUGGAACUGAGACACGGUCCAGACUCCUACGGGAGGCAGCAGUGGGGAAUUUUGGACAAUGGGCGCAAGCCUGAUCCAGCCAUGCCGCGUGAGUGAAGAAGG